CUAGAGAGGAGCACACUGGCCCCUGUGCAGCUGAGGCAACUGGAAGAAAUACCCAAAUUCUCCUUUCUACCACAUCUGGUGGCAGAAGUGAUUUAAAACCCAAGCCUCUAUGACCAGAGGCCAGCCAGCUGACUCAGUCCCCGAGGUGAGUGCCACCCCCCACCUGCACGCCCAAGCGCCCACUGCGCCACAGCCCGGCCAAAGAACAUCAGCCCUCUGUGGUGUGUGCCAAAACCGUGCAGAGCAGCCAGCGGGAACUGAGGAGAAGAAAAACUUUGGAGUCCAUCAAAGUUAUUCAAGUGUCUAUCUGAACAGAAGAAACCUCAGGAGGAAGAAAGAUGACAGUUCAUCUACAAGGUCACAUUCUACUGUAUGCCUCUAUGUGUAUGGAGACCUCAUAAAAGGAAAGACAAACACCAUCCUGAAACGGGUUUAGGACUACAUCACUCAACACAGCUCCAGAAUAAGGAACUGAUAGGAUACAUCUUCUACAAUCUGACCAGAGCUUCAAAUAAGAGCUUCAAUCAAAAUUAGAACUCCAAUCAAGAACUUCAACCAAGCAUCUCCUGCCAAACAGAGACUAAGUAACCUACUUAAGACUCUUGUUGUACUAUCAUUGUUUUUCCACAGGUCCCCAUGAAAUUGUCAUCGUCCCACCUCAACGGGAAGUAAAUUUGAGAAUUCCACGCCCCCUCACCCUACUAUUGAUAUUAGAGGAUAGUUUACACCUGUUAGUGUUAGUUUUCAAUUAUUUUAGGGUUGGGAUUGGA